rnacentral:lncRNA from 1 species
UUUUAGCAUUUUUUCUAAUUAUGUCAUAUACACUUAAUAAAUAAAAUUUAAUCCCAUAACUAGUAAUUAAACAAAUGAGAAAUAAAUAUUAUCUUCUUGGUCUAAAAGUUUAAAUUCAGUAACUGGAAGAUGGUAUCGUAUUGCCAAGUUAAAUAUUCUGGAGUUCCUGAGCUAGAUAUAUAUAAUAGAAAAAUGGGUAAGAAUUCCCAUUAUUGCCUUUUCCUUCAGUUACUUGCAUGGACAACAGUUUAUCCUGACAUUAAAAUCAAAUCAUCUAACUAGAAUGGCUGAUUUUACGUUUUUGUGUCUUGUUGAUUGCAAAGUUAUCUCAUGAAAUUUAGCUAUAUAAGGAUAACUGAUCCUUCAAUUAAAUUCUGCCUGCUGCAGUACUAGUUCUGCUGCUACAAAAUAGCAUAUUUGAGAUAUUCAGUUAUUACCUGUAACAUUGUUAAAGGGCAUUUCUUGAAAAAAAAAAAGGUGUCAUCUUAGCGACACUGAUAAUAAUUGCUUAGUAUUUUUGCAUAUGCUAAAGAUUACCUUUAGUAACAGUGUUUCUUGAAUGGAAAUUUUAGCAAAACCUUGAAUUUGGAGUAUAUACACAGGUUUCCUGGAGUUUAGAAGUUCAUCUGAGCAAUUGCUACUACCCGAACUCUUAGUGAACCUUCUAUUCUACCAUGACUCCUCUGAACACAGGAUUAUUUUGAAGAGAAACCUAAUAACCUGAUACAUACCUACAAAAUUACCACAAGGGUUACUCAUUAGCAUUGAUGUAUCUUCAAAACCAUUUUUAUUUUCAAAACAUGGUAAAUUGAGACUUGGUUUGGGGUUUGUCGUGGUUUAAACCCAGCCGGUAACUCAGAACCACGCAGCCACUCACUCACUGCCCCCCUUCUUCCUCCCCCCGCUCCCGGAAGGAUGGGGAGGAGAAUCGGAAGAAUGUAACUUCCACAGGCUGAGAUAAGAGCAGUCCAGUAACUAAGCUAUAAUACAAAACCACUACUGCUACCACCAUAAUAAUAACAAUAAGGGAAAUAACAAGGGGAGAGGAUACAAUUGCUCACCACCCGCCGACUGAUACUCAGCCCGACCCGAGCAGCGAUCUGGCCUUCCAGGUAACUCCCCCCAGUUUGUAUACUGGGCAUGACGUGCUGUGGUAUGGAAUACCCCUUUGGCUAGUUUGGGCCAGGUGUCCUGUCUCUGCUCCCUCCCGGCUUCUCCUCCUCCCUGGCAAAGCACGAGACUGAGAAAGUCCUUGGUUGGAGUAAACAUUACUCAGCAACAACCAAAAACAUCGGUGUUAUCAGUGAUGUUCCCAGACUGAAAGUCAAAAACACAGCACUGCACCAGCUACUAAGAAGAAGAAAAAUGACUGCUGUAGCUGAACCCAGGACAGGGUUUUACACACACACACACAUCCCCCUUUUAGGAUGAAGCGAUGACAUGGAGUUCUCUGUUUCAAAACUUAUUAUUUAUGUUUUCCUACUUCCUCCUGUGUCACAUUUGACUUUAAUUUCUCUUUCAUGGGGAGGAGAGCACUAUGGGAACAACUAGUACCUUAUUUCUCCCAUCUCUGUUUUCCAUGGUUGGCUAAUCAGAUUUCUAAUGAUAAUUCAGGGCAAGAGGUCUUAACAGGAAGUUCAGAGUGUGUGAAGUCCAGCUCCUGUGAACUGUUUUGACCUCCUACAAAUCACAGGUUGUAGGCCUUUAAUCAAUAGUUCCCGUAUCAGUUUGGAAAUCGUGCCUCAGGCACACUGAAGAAAAAAAGCAAUUAAAGAAUUUAGAUGAUAGAAUAUUUCUCCUACGCUAAAUACAUUGUUUCAAAUUGUAAUAAAUAAAACUUUUUUGAAGUACCUAAUUAAUAUUUUAAUUUUAUCUACCUUCUACAUUGAUCAUUGGAUUUUACGCUUUUAUCUGGUAACUAAAGUAUACUCUACUACCAGCUGGUUUCCUUCUAUACAGGUAUUUAUAAUUAUGACCAAGACAACUCACUAUCUUUUCUAUGAAGCUAAAUGGAGAGUCUGUCAAAAAGGCAGACUGUAAGGAAUAACAUGGUCAUCCUUCUGUCCAAAAUGAAAAACCCACCUCACAAAAUUGACAACCUUAUACAGGGCUAUAACUAAGCUAAAAUCUUUAAUAGCUUAAGCUUGGGCUUCUCAGUGCUAGCUCAAACUGUCACCAUAUUCAAUAUGUUCCAACAGAGUCCAGCAGGCUCAGUGCAGAGGCAGAGCAAGUUCACAUUUAUUCCUGCAAAAUACAAUAUAAAACUAUCCUACAUAUGACAAAGGCGAGUUUAGGACUCUCAGAAAUUUUCAUAAUUUCAGCUGAAAAAGAAAGUCUUUUUUAGUUUUGUAAGAAUUUGGAAUAAAACUGACUUUUGUAACACGAUAUCAGGUCACUCUCUUGGCCAUUUCAUGCGUUCAUAUGGUUCAGUGCAGGACUGAGUCAAAACUACCAGCAGCUGACAGCACUUCUUUGCCUCAAUUCUUUUCUACACUUGCAGCAGAAGUCAGUGAGAAAGGAGAAAAUGCCAAUGAAAAGGAAACCGUAAAUGUAA